AGUUGGUGGAGUGAUUUGUCUGGUUAAUUCCGUUAACGAACGAGACCUCAGCCUACUAUUGUAGUUACAGUGCAUUCUCUUGAAUGUGGCUUAACUUCUUAGAGGGACUGUCAGAUUUAAACUGACGGAAGUUUGAGGCAAUAACAGG
rnacentral:rRNA from 1 species